AAUCUUGCACAAUGGGCGAAAGCCUGAUGCAGCAACGCCGCGUGCGGGAAGACGGCCCUAGGGUUGUAAACCGCUUUCAGCAGGGAAGAAAAUGACGGUACCUGUAGAAGAAGAUGCGGCCAACUACGUGCCAGCAGCCGCGGUGACACGUAGGCAUCAAGCGUUAUUCGGAUUUAUUGGGCGUAAAGAGCUCGUAGGCGGUUCGGUAAGUCGGGUGUGAAAACUCUGGGCUCAACCCAGAGACGCCACCCGAUACUGCUGUGACUAGAGUGCGGUAGGGGAGCGGGGAACUCCUGGUGUAGCGGUGAAAUGCGCAGAUAUCAGGAAGAACACCAGUGGCGAAGGCGCCGCUCUGGGCCGUAACUGACGCUGAGGAGCGAAAGCAUGGGUAGCAAACAGGAUUAGAUACCCUGGUAGUCCAUGCCGUA
rnacentral:rRNA from 1 species